GACGAACGCUGGCGGCGUGCUUAACACAUGCAAGUCGAACGGAAAGGCCCUGCUUUUGUGGGGUGCUCGAGUGGCGAACGGGUGAGUAACACGUGAGUAACCUGCCCUUGACUUUGGGAUAACUUCAGGAAACUGGGGCUAAUACCGGAUAGGAGCUCCUGCUGCAUGGUGGGGGUUGGAAAGUUUCGGCGGUUGGGGAUGGACUCGCGGCUUAUCAGCUUGUUGGUGGGGUAGUGGCUUACCAAGGCUUUGACGGGUAGCCGGCCUGAGAGGGUGAACGGCCACAUGAGGACUGAGAGACGGAGCAGACGCCUACGGGAGGCAGCAGUCGGGAAUAUGACACAAUGGGCGGAAGCCUGAUGCAGCAGCGCCGCGUGCGGGAUGACGGCUUUCGGGUGAUAAACAGAUUUCGCCGGUGACGAAGCGUGAGUGACGGUAAUGGGUAAAGAAGCACCGGCUAACUACGUG
rnacentral:rRNA from 1 species